AUGUCAUGUUCAUGGGUUCAUGGACCAUUCAGAAAUCUGAUAGUGGAGGGAAAGAAGCUAUUCCUGAAAGCAGUCGACUUAAAACUGAAGUAGAAGAUAAUGCAUCACAAAGUUCCAAAUGUUAUGUAAAGCUUCCAUUUUCUAAAUAGAUUCUUACUUUCGUAUGUUCUGAUCCAGGCCAAAUGCAACGUUUGGUCCACUUGGCUCUUCAUUGCCCAUAACUCUGAAUGUCUAAUUUAUUUCUCACUGCCUUUUGAUUGUCAGCAUUUCUGUUUUAGAUCAUGAAGGUAGCAGCUGAGCCCAAAGCUAAGAGGAAAAAUCAGAGACACAAGAGACUGUAGAUAUUGGAGUCUGGAGCAAUAAGCAAUCUAUUGGAGGAACUCCAGAGCUCAAGGACCAUCAAUGGGGGGGAGAACAAUUUGACAAUGUAUAAACUUUGACUGCCUAAUGACCGAUCGGUGCACCAUUUCCCAGCCUCAGAAGAUGCUCACAGUCUGUAGAGAAAUGCCAGGAACACAGCUUCGCAACCAGAGGGUGUUUGUUUCCAUGGCAAUGCUCACCAGAUUCCAGCGAUGAAGAAUAAUUCAAAAGCACCAAUGAUAGAGGGGGCCCAACUCAACUCAAACUUUGGCAAUUAAGUUGGAAUGUUCGGACAUCGUAUCAGGUGAAGGGUAAGUGGGCUGAUAUCAUCUCUGAAGGAAAGCAUCAUUAAUCUGCAGAACCUAACUCAUUGGUACAGUAGGAUAGUGUUUAGCCUAAUGUUUUACAGAACCAGUGACCCUGGUUCAAUUCUGCCAAUGUUUGCAAGGAGUAUCUACAUUCUCUUCAUGACUCUUUGAGCUUCCUUUAGGUACUCUGAUUUUGUCCCACAUUACUGAGAUGUAUCGGCGAGUAGGUUUUAUGGACACAUGGGUAUAAUUGGGUGGUGUGGGCUCGUUGCACUGGAAGGGCCUGUUACUGAGCAGAAAAUCAAACAAACAAAUAAAUAAAUAAUAGAUGGAUAGAUAGAUAAAUAAACAUCAUGUUAGAAUGAAGAAAGAUGUUAAAACCACCUGCCCACCAUGAGAAGGUACUCAAGACCCUUUCCUAAUCCCUUCCAUUUUCCACCUACUUGAACCAUAUGCCGGUAUCAAAAAACAAUAUCCAAUAACACUGCACAACUAGUGAAUGGUUAGUGACCAAACAUUCCCCUCAGAGAAGAGGCUAUGUAGCAUCUACAUCUGGAGCACCCGACUCAAAGGUAGUUACUUUCCCCAAGCAUUAAGGCACAUAGGGGAAUCAUAGGCAUGUGGGAGCAGUUAAUAGGCAUCAGAGAGGGAUUGGUUUAUAGAAUGCAAUAGAGGAUGAGGGAAUGGCCCUGAUGGGAAAUCUCUGAAGGUGGCAUAGAUCUGAGGGGGCAAAUACCCUCUUUCUCUGUCAUAGGUCACGUACUAUCCGCAACAGGACCACCAGACUCAAAAACAGUUGCUUUUCCCAAGCAGUACGGUUAAUCAACACUCCCUCACACUAACCUACCACUUAUUUAUAAUUUCCUAUCAGUCACCUUAUGUUCAGACACUCUUGAACCUAGUGUCACUUUAUGUGUGUACAUAUAAUCAACCUAUGCAUAUAAACUAUCUUAUGGAUAUAUAUUCAUUGUUUUAUUUAUUACUGUGUUCUAUAUCUUAAUGUGAAAUUUUAUGUGCUGCAUCAUAUUCAGAGAAACAAUUAUUUUUUUCUUCUUUACACUUGUGCACUGGAAAUGACAUUAAACAAUCUGAUAUGAAUGAAUGACCUGGAAGACUUUGGCUUCAAGACAAUUAAGUAACAUUAUAUUCCUCAUCACUACACCAGGUCCCAAGACCAGUGCUUUUGGUUCACAUUUUACAUUCAAUUUGAAUGGUAAUUCAAAGGCUUAUGUAGUAAGGAGGGGUUGGUGAAGGGGUUUUCAUACCCAGAUCUCAGUACAUGACAAAUCUGAAUUGUCCAAAGCUCCAAUUUUGAGACUGGAAUAAUCUGGAGCAGGGUUUGAACCCAGCAUCUAUGUCAUCUGGCAUAUUCUUACAUACAGUAGAAGAGCAAAAGAAACAUUACUCUAGCUCCAUGACCCUCAUUCUCUUUGUGAUCACUUAUAGACAGUAUACAAUUGGUCAUUUUAGGUGCAUCGCCACCCACAGCUCUAAUCUGCUAAUUAAAUUUGCUGAUGACACUACAUUGAUUGACCUAAUUUCAAACAAUAACGAGGUGACCUACAGGGAAGAAGCCACCUCUCUGACACAGUGGUAUCAAGAAAACAACCCCUCCCUCAAUGUCGCAAAAACAAAGAAGCUGGUUAUGGAUUACAAAAGGAAUGGAGACUGGCUAACCCCUAUUGACAUCAAUGGAUCUGGGGUUGAGAAGGUAAACAGCUUUAAAUUCCUUGGCAUAAACAUCACUGAGGAAUUCAUGUGAUCUGUACACGGUGGUGCAUGGUGAGAAAGGCACAACAGCACCCCUUUCACCUCAGACGGUUGAGGAAGUUUGGCAUGAGCCCCCAAAUCCUAAGAACUUUUUACAGGGGCACAAUUGAGAGCAUCCUGACUGGCUGCAUCACUGCCUGGCAUGGGAACUGUACUUCCCUCAAUCACAGGACUCUGCAGAGAGUGGUGUGGACAGCCCAGCGCAUCUGUAGAUGUGAACUUCCCAUGAUCCAGGACAUUUACAAAGACAGGAGUGGAAAAAGGGCCUAGCGGAUCAUUGGAGACCCGAGUCACCCCAAACACAGUCUAUUUCAGCUGCUAUCAUCUAGGAAACGGUACCGCAGCAUAAAAGCCAGGACCGACAGACUCCGGGACAGCUUCUUCUACUAGGCCAUCAGACUGAUUAACUCAUGCUGAUUUGAGUGUACAUAAUUCUAUGUUACAUUGACUGUUCUAUUUAUAAUAAGUUAUUAUAGAUUACUAUGAUUGCA